rnacentral:lncRNA from 1 species
AACUGUAGUACCUCAAUUUUGUCUGAAUAUUUAAAUAUUUUUAAAAUAAAUAAACUUAUAUUUAAUAUUUAUUUGAUUAUCAUAUUUAACCAACACAAUCUAAAAAAAGUGUCAAUUUAUUCAAGCGCAUUUAGUUUGAGCCCAAUGUCCAUAUUACACUCAACCUAAAAUAACAAAAAUAUUAAAUAAAAAAUUAAAACAAAUAAUAAUUAAAAAUGAAAAGAAGUCUUUCUACAAAAGGCGCUUCUACCGUGCUCUCAUCCCAUCCAUCUUGUUUUUCAUGCUUCCAUCCCUUUCACCAAAAUGACACUCCACCUUCUUCAAUCUUCUAUAAUCCCUUAAAUCUUGCAAUUAAGUACAAUACAAUCCCACGAUUUCUGCAGAAAUCAAUAUUAAAAUCUAUUAACCAAUCAACCAAAUGCCUAUAAAUUGAACCAAAUACAAGGGUUUUAGAAAGGGGAAUGUUUUAGGGUUUUUGUUGGAAAAAGAAACAGAAACGUAAACUCAUAGAGAGGAUUAUGGUGAGCAUUCUGGUUUUUUUGAGCAACCGAUAGGUGAGAGAACAUGAAUGAAAACAUAAUACAAAUGUAGAGAAAUAAAGAGAGGGGAUAACUUCAAAAUAGAAGGGGAGGGGAGAGCUUUCUGAGCCAAACAAACCAAAUAAAAAUAAAUAAAACAUCAGAAUGAACUCUGAUACAAAAUCAACAACAACGAACUCACUCAAAAAAACUAGAAACUAAAACAUGAUUGUCAUCUCCUUUACCACGACAUAACCUCCAUCUCUUUUAUCACCACCUUCAUCUCCUUUAUCACCAUAUGAUCUUCAUCUUCACUAUCACAACAACAACAAAAGAAAGCAAGAAUAGAAAUAAAGAAAAGACGAAGAGAACGAAACAGAAAGAGAAAGUACGGAUCUCACCACUUCACGCUAUGAAAUUGCAUUGGAUACCUUCCUCCGUCAUGCUAGAAAUCGCCUCCUCCAUACAGUAAAUCGCCUCUGCCAUGCUAGAAAUCGCUUUGUUGCGCUAGAGGUCUAUUUUUGUCCCCUUUCAUCCUUUCCCUUCAUUUUUCAUUGCUUGCUUGUGAUGUGUUUUGUUAUAACACACACACGCACACACACACACAGAAGAGAGAGAGAGAGAGAGAGAGAGAGAGAGAGAGAAGAGAGAGAGAGAGAGAGAGAGAGAGAGAGAAGAGAGAGAGAGAGAUGAGAAGAGAGAGAGAAGAGAAGACGGAGAAGAGAGAGAGAGAGAGAGAGAGAGAGAGAGAGAGAGAGAUAAGAGUUUGGAUCUUUUGAGAGAGAUGAAGAGAUUGUUGUUGUUGUUCAAAAGGAGAAAGGAAAUUUUGGUGAGGAUUCUGUUAAAGAGAGAGGGUGAGGUUUAGUUAACAAAGAGAGAAGAAAAUUUGAAGUUUUUUUCUGAGAAGCUAGAGAGGAGGUUUUGUUUGGUACAAAGAGUAAAAGGGUUCUAUGUGUUGAGAUAGGGUAAAUUUUUUAUUUGAAUUGAAAUUUGUUGAGGCCUAUUUUGCAAUGAAUAUAAAAAACUAAACGUUUUUUUAUGUAGCAACUAAGAGAAGCGCGACCCCCACAUGUUCCUUUCUGUUUAGUUUUUUUCCCUUUUUUUUUUGUUGUCAUUUAUUUAUUUAUUAUUUUAAUAAAUGUACAUUAAAGAAAAAUGAUAAAAUUUGGUUAAAUAGAUGCAUAUCUAUGUUAAUCGUUAA